AUCUUAAACAAGAGAUAAAUUAGUAGUAAAGCUAUCAGCAUUGUAGUCAUUGUAAUCUCUUUUUAUUUUAGCAGACAUUUUUAGCAGAAAGCAAAGUUUUUGCAUAAUAUGAAUAAAAAAUUACAUAUGCAUAAAAGAAACUUGAUAAAGCAUUUAUAGUGACCACCAGAAUAUUUGGUGCCUUCAAGAAAAUAAGCAAAAAUGAAUGUACAUAAAUAACCUGUUUUGAGCUAAAACAACCAAGAACAAGAAAUUAUUUCUUGAAACAGUAACUGAUUUCAAAAUUCUCUGCACCGGAACAAUAAAUAUUUUAUGACACCUGCCCUGGAGAGAAUAACAGCACUGAGGCUGUUCUUCUAAUAUAACAAAGAUGGGCCAGCAGGAGCUCAGUCUCCUAGCACGGACGAGCCCCCUACACCCACAGAGAGUCCAGAGGGCAAGGAAGGCUCAUAAAUGAGAGCAGUGUGUGUCAAGCCUUUAGCUCAGAGAUGGAGCUGUGGCAUCACUGCUGUCCUCGCUGCACGAAUGCAGAUUACUUCCACUGGGUUUAGGAGUCUUCAGACUGUUACGGAAUGGAAAGCAAGCAGUGGAUAAGAGAAAGGACUUGAAAACCAGGUCUUAUAGGGGACAGUGCAAUGAGUAUGUCCAAAGACCGGAGCUGAACUUUCAAAGAGGGCAAACUCUGAAGAGGAACUCAAAAAGAGAUUUUUUGCCAAUAGACAAACCAAAACAUGGGAGUAUACCACUAAUGAGUGCUUUAAUGAAUUUUACCUGUUGUUUGACCUGAUGCUGUUCUUUUAUGAGUUUUGUAUAUUUCCAACACCUAUUGUGAAGAGUGGAUUUGUAUUGUGUGAUAGUAGUGUAUAUAAAAAAAAAAUCAGCUUGAAAAGAGAUUUCAUAUGUCUUUGUUAUAAUGUCUACACUUAUAAGAGAGAGAGAGAGAGAGAGAAAGACAACAGACAGACAGAGAGACAGAGAGACAGACAGACAGAGCGAGUGUGUGUGUGUGUUCUAGAGAGAGAGAGAGAGAGAGAGAGAGAGAGAGAGAGAGAGA